GACGAACGCUGGCGGCGUGCCUAAUACAUGCAAGUAGAACGCACAGUUUAUACCGUAGCUUGCUACACCAUAGACUGUGAGUUGCGAACGGGUGAGUAACGCGUAGGUAACCUGCCUGGUAGCGGGGGAUAACUAUUGGAAACGAUAGCUAAUACCGCAUAAUAUUAAUUGUUGCAUGAUAAUUAAUUGAAAGGUGCAAUUGCACCACUACCAGAUGGACCUGCGUUGUAUUAGCUAGUAGGUGAGGUAACGGCUCACCUAGGCGACGAUACAUAGCCGACCUGAGAGGGUGAUCGGCCACACUGGGACUGAGACACGGCCCAGACUCCUACGGGAGGCAGCAGUAGGGAAUCUUCGGCAAUGGACGAAAGUCUGACCGAGCAACGCCGCGUGAGUGAAGAAGGUUUUCGGAUCGUAAAGCUCUGUUGUAAGAGAAGAACGGGUGUGAGAGUGGAAAGUUCACACUGUGACGGUAUCUUACCAGAAAGGGACGGCUAACUACGUG
rnacentral:rRNA from 1 species